UGCAGGGUAUAGACCCGAAACCCGGUGAUCUAGCCAUGGGCAGGUUGAAGGUUGGGUAACACUAACUGGAGGACCGAACCGACUAAUGUUGAAAAAUUAGCGGAUGACUUGUGGCUGGGGGUGAAAGGCCAAUCAAACCGGGAGAUAGCUGGUUCUCCCCGAAAGCUAUUUAGGUAGCGCCUCGUGAAUUCAUCUCCGGGGGUAGAGCACUGUUUCGGCAAGGGGGUCAUCCCGACUUACCAACCCGAUGCAAACUGCGAAUACCGGAGAAUGUUAUCACGGGAGACACACGGCGGGUGCUAACGUCCGUCGUGAAGAGGGAAACAACCCAGACCGCCAGCUAAGGUCCCAAAGUCAUGGUUAAGUGGGAAACGAUGUGGGAAGGCCCAGACAGCCAGGAUGUUGGCUUAGAAGCAGCCAUCAUUUAAAGAAAGCGUAAUAGCUCACUGGUCGAGUCGGCCUGCGCGGAAGAUGUAACGGGGCUAAACCAUGCACCGAAGCUGCGGCAGCGACACUGUGUGUUGUUGGGUAGGGGAGCGUUCUGUAAGCCUGUGAAGGUGUGCUGUGAGGCAUGCUGGAGGUAUCAGAAGUGCGAAUGCUGACAUAAGUAACGAUAAAGCGGGUGAAAAGCCCGCUCGCCGGAAGACCAAGGGUUCCUGUCCAACGUUAAUCGGGGCAGGGUGAGUCGACCCCUAAGGCGAGGCCGAAAGGCGUAGUCGAUGGGAAACAGGUUAAUAUUCCUGUACUUGGUGUUACUGCGAAGGGGGGACGGAGAAGGCUAUGUUGGCCGGGCGACGGUUGUCCCGGUUUAAGCGUGUAGGCUGGUUUUCCAGGCAAAUCCGGAAAAUCAAGGCUGAGGCGUGAUGACGAGGCACUACGGUGCUGAAGCAACAAAUGCCCUGCUUCCAGGAAAAGCCUCUAAGCAUCAGGUAACAUCAAAUCGUACCCCAAACCGACACAGGUGGUCAGGUAGAGAAUACCAAGGCGCUUGAGAGAACUCGGGUGAAGGAACUAGGCAAAAUGGUGCCGUAACUUCGGGAGAAGGCACGCUGAUAUGUAGGUGAAGUCCCUCGCGGAUGGAGCUGAAAUCAGUCGAAGAUACCAGCUGGCUGCAACUGUUUAUUAAAAACACAGCACUGUGCAAACACGAAAGUGGACGUAUACGGUGUGACGCCUGCCCGGUGCCGGAAGGUUAAUUGAUGGGGUCAGCGCAAGCGAAGCUCUUGAUCGAAGCCCCGGUAAACGGCGGCCGUAACUAUAACGGUCCUAAGGUAGCGAAAUUCCUUGUCGGGUAAGUUCCGACCUGCACGAAUGGCGUAAUGAUGGCCAGGCUGUCUCCACCCGAGACUCAGUGAAAUUGAACUCGCUGUGAAGAUGCAGUGUACCCGCGGCAAGACGGAAAGACCCCGUGAACCUUUACUAUAGCUUGACACUGAACAUUGAGCCUUGAUGUGUAGGAUAGGUGGGAGGCUUUGAAGUGUGGACGCCAGUCUGCAUGGAGCCGACCUUGAAAUACCACCCUUUAAUGUUUGAUGUUCUAACGUGGACCCGUGAUCCGGGUUGCGGACAGUGUCUGGUGGGUAGUUUGACUGGGGCGGUCUCCUCCUAAAGAGUAACGGAGGAGCACGAAGGUUGGCUAAUCCUGGUCGGACAUCAGGAGGUUAGUGCAAUGGCAUAAGCCAGCUUGACUGCGAGCGUGACGGCGCGAGCAGGUGCGAAAGCAGGUCAUAGUGAUCCGGUGGUUCUGAAUGGAAGGGCCAUCGCUCAACGGAUAAAAGGUACUCCGGGGAUAACAGGCUGAUACCGCCCAAGAGUUCAUAUCGACGGCGGUGUUUGGCACCUCGAUGUCGGCUCAUCACAUCCUGGGGCUGAAGUAGGUCCCAAGGGUAUGGCUGUUCGCCAUUUAAAGUGGUACGCGAGCUGGGUUUAGAACGUCGUGAGACAGUUCGGUCCCUAUCUGCCGUGGGCGCUGGAGAACUGAGGGGGGCUGCUCCUAGUACGAGAGGACCGGAGUGGACGCAUCACUGGUGUUCGGGUUGUCAUGCCAAUGGCACUGCCCGGUAGCUAAAUGCGGAAGAGAUAAGUGCUGAAAGCAUCUAAGCACGAAACUUGCCCCGAGAUGAGUUCUCCCUGACCCUUUAAGGGUCCUGAAGGAACGUUGAAGACGACGACGUUGAUAGGCCGGGUGUGUAAGCGCAGCGAUGCGUUGAGCUAACCGGUACUAAUGAACCGUGAGGCUUAACCUUACAACGCCGAAGGUGUUU
rnacentral:rRNA from 1 species